rnacentral:rRNA from 1 species
GACGAGCGCUGGCGGCGUGCUUAACACAUGCAAGUCGAACGGAAAGGCCCUGCUUUUGUGGGGUGCUCGAGUGGCGAACGGGUGAGUAACACGUGAGUAACCUGCCCUUGACUUUGGGAUAACUUCAGGAAACUGGGGCUAAUACCGGAUAGGAGCUCCUGCUGCAUGGUGGGGGUUGGAAAGUUUCGGCGGUUGGGGAUGGACUCGCGGCUUAUCAGCUUGUUGGUGGGGUAGUGGCUUACCAAGGCUUUGACGGGUAGCCGGCCUGAGAGGGUGACCGGCCACAUUGGGACUGAGAUACGGACCAGACUCCUACGGGAGGCAGCAGUGGGGAAUAUUGCACAAUGGGCGGAAGCCUGAUGCAGCAACGCCGCGUGCGGGAUGACGGCCUUCGGGUUGUAAACCGCUUUCGCCUGUGACGAAGCGUGAGUGACGGUAAUGGGUAAAGAAGCACCGGCUAACUACGUG